rnacentral:rRNA from 1 species
AUGUCAGCGUGGUUACUCUCAUCCUCCGGAUUGUUUUGUUAUCCAAUGCAGGGAUUUAGGUAUGAAGAGGAGAGCCACAACUAUGCUCCACAACAGUCUUAUUCAGCUCCUAUUCAUAUACCUCAGCACCAGGAGAUGUUGCCAAUGGAGUUAAAUGGUCCUCCAUUUGGUCAACCAACACCUUCAACACAAGUGCCCACUCAAGAUGAGUUCGAUGACAUAGACAAGCUCACACUUUUGAGUCUCGAGUUCACUUGGAGUGCCGAGGAUGAUCCUAUUAGGAAGGUUAUACUAGAUGAAAUGAAGAAGAUCAAGAGUGGGAAUGAGCUAGUGGAAGAAGUAAAGAAGAUUGAGAAGAACAUCAACGCUGGCAGUACUAUUUCUUCACAGCUUGAGUUGAGUAAUUCUGGAAUUCCCCUUGAUACAUGUGAGGUUCCAAUACCGUCACAUCCAGCUGAGCACGAUAGCAAGUGCCUUGAGCAUGAGAUACCUCAGAUUGAAGAAGAUGAACUAGAAGACAAGGAACAAGAUGAUCAAGAGCUGCAAUUACCAAGUGAUCAAGUUGGAGACUCAUCAUUUACUACUCUCGAAGAAGUACAAGAAGUUGUUGUAGAUGAAGAUGAAGAACCUGAGAUCCAUUGGCCUAUUGUCAUACAUGAGCGUGAUGUGUCAGGUUUACCCAAUCCUCUUGAUGACAUGAUGCCUUGUGAUUUCUUUGCUUCUACCUUGCAUUGCAUGAUGCCAUCUGUUAAAGUAGAUUUGAAAAACUAUUUGCUUGGACAUGAUCAUACAUACCCUGUUAGUGGCAUUGCUCAUAUCUCUGUUCAUGAUACUUAUGUUCCUGAUGCUAUACCCAUGCUUAAUGAAACGUGUGAUUCUAAUACUAGCAUUGAGCUUACUGAUUUGUACCAUCCUAAACAUGUGCUUUAUAGCUAUGCUUAUGUAAUUGGGUACUCUAUUGAUGAUUUAGAGGGCAUUACCCCUGUCACUUGUAUCGCCUCCUUGCUUGAGUGCUCUUUCAGGUUGUUGCUUGUGCAUGAUCCACUACGUGCUGACCAAGUUUGA